UACGUAGGGAGCAAGCGUUGUCCGGAAUCAUUGGGCGUAAAGCGCGCGUAGGUGGCCUCGUAAGUCCGCUGUGAAAGUCCAAGGCUCAACCUUGGAAAGCCGGUGGAUACUGUGAGGCUAGAGUACGGAAGAGGCGAGUGGAAUUCCUGGUGUAGCGGUGGAAUGCGUAGAGAUCGGGAAGAACAUCAGUGGCGAAGGCGGUCUGCUGGGCCGUUGCUGACGCUGAGGCGCGACAGCGUGGGGAGCAAACAGG
rnacentral:rRNA from 1 species